rnacentral:rRNA from 1 species
UACGUAGGGUGCGAGCGUUGUCCGGAAUUAUUGGGCGUAAAGAGCUUGUAGGCGGUUUGUCGCGUCUGCUGUGAAAAUCCGGGGCUCAACCCCGGACUUGCAGUGGGUACGGGCAGACUAGAGUGUGGUAGGGGAGGCUGGAAUUCCUGGUGUAGCGGUGGAAUGCGCAGAUAUCAGGAGGAACACCGAUGGCGAAGGCAGGUCUCUGGGCCACUACUGACGCUGAGAAGCGAAAGCAUGGGGAGCGAACAGG